rnacentral:tRNA from 1 species
UCCCCUGUAGCUCAAUGGCAGAGCAUCUCGCUGUUAACGAGAGGGUUCUAGGUUCGAAUCCUAGCGGGGGAG